GAAUAUUCUUGAUUUCACCGCUCUCUUUUUCCUUCUUUUCCAGUAUUUUUACACUAUGCUAUGUUAUAGUGUUUUCAGCGAUAGCAAGAAAAUACUGUAGCGUAGUAUGAAAACACUAUGGUAUAGUAUUGUGCUAUAAUGCUUUCAUGUUAUAGCUAAAAAUACUGUAACAUAAUAUAAAAAUAUAGUAAUUGGAUCGGUUCACAUAUGGACGGGUGCAUAGGGAAAAAAAAAAGAAAAAGACGAUGCAUAUAAAAAAAAAAAGGAGAAAGGGAGAUAGCUGAAGGUAUUUCAUGCGUUAGAUAAAAUAAAAACAUUAUUAGAAAAUUUUAAAAACGAAAGGCAUUUCUCAGGAAAAAAAAAUCGAAAACGGAUGUAUUUUCUUUUCGAUAAUUCACCCUUGGAAUGGGAUGUAAUAUGACGGAGCACAUCUCCACCUAUAAAAACC
rnacentral:lncRNA from 1 species